UGGGGAAUAUUGGACAAUGGGGGCAACCCUGAUCCAGCGAUGCCGCGUGUGCGAAGAAGGCCUGCGGGUUGUAAAGCACUUUAGUUGGGGAAGAAAUUUCAUUAGAUGAAUAAGCUAGUGAGUUGACGUUACCCAAAGAAUAAGCACCGGCUAACUCUGUGCCAGCAGCCGCGGUAAUACAGAGGGUGCGAGCGUUAAUCGGAAUUACUGGGCGUAAAGGGUGCGUAGGCGGUUAUAUAAGUUAGAUGUGAAAUCCCCGGGCUUAACCUGGGAACGGCAUUUAAGACUGUAUGGCUAGAGUAGAGUAGAGGGGAGUGGAAUUUCCGGUGUAGCGGUGAAAUGCGUAGAUAUCGGAAAGAACACCAGUGGCGAAGGCGGCUCCCUGGACUCAUACUGACGUUGAGGCACGAAAGCAUGGGUAGCAAACAGGAUUAGAUACCCCGGUAGUCC
rnacentral:rRNA from 1 species